rnacentral:lncRNA from 1 species
CAGAAGAGCCAGCCGUUGGCGUUGCACAUCCAUCUACUCCCAGAGUCAUGAGUCGAAGGAGUCUCUCGCUCCAGUUUCCCCUGCUGCUGCUCCUGCUGCUGCUCCCACCACCCCCGGUACUGCUCACAGAUGCUGGGGUACCCUCACCAGUCAAUCCCUGUUGUUACUAUCCAUGCCAGAACCAGGGUGUCUGUGUCCGCUUCGGCCUCGACCACUACCAAUGUGACUGUACUCGCACGGGCUACUCGGGCCCCAACUGUACUAUCCGUGAGCAAGGCCUCCAGCCCCUCUCUCUCCCACUCCCCGGAUCUUCUCUAUACCCUC